rnacentral:rRNA from 1 species
AACGAACGCUGGCGGCAUGCCUAACACAUGCCAGUCGAACGAGACCUUCGGGUCUAGUGGCGCACGGGUGCGUAACGCGUGGGAACCUGCCCUUAGGUUCGGAAUAACUCCCCGAAAGGGGUGCUAAUACCGGAUAAUGUUUUCGGACCAAAGAUUUAUCGCCUUUGGAUGGGCCCGCGUUGGAUUAGCUAGUUGGUAGGGUAAAAGCCUACCAAGGCGACGAUCCAUAGCUGGUCUGAGAGGAUGAUCAGCCACACUGGGACUGAGACACGGCCCAGACUCCUACGGGAGGCAGCAGUGGGGAAUAUUGGACAAUGGGCGAAAGCCUGAUCCAGCAAUGCCGCGUGAGUGAUGAAGGCCUUAGGGUUGUAAAGCUCUUUUACCCGGGAUGAUAAUGACAGUACCGGGAGAAUAAGCUCCGGCUAACUCCGUG